UACGGAGGGUGCGAGCGUUGUCCGGAAUCACUGGGCGUAAAGGGCGCGUAGGCGGCCUGAUAAGUAGGGGGUGAAAUCCUGCGGCUUAACCGCAGGGCUGCCUUCUAAACUGUCAGGCUAGAGCACAGUAGAGGCAGGUGGAAUUCCCGGUGUAGCGGUGGAAUGCGUAGAGAUCGGGAAGAACAUCAGUGGCGAAGGCGGCCUGCUGGGCUGUUGCUGACGCUGAGGCGCGACAGCGUGGGGAGCCAACAGG
rnacentral:rRNA from 1 species